rnacentral:rRNA from 1 species
UACGUAGGGAGCAAGCGUUGUCCGGAAUCAUUGGGCGUAAAGCGCGCGUAGGUGGCCUCAUAAGUCCGCUGUGAAAGUCCAAGGCUCAACCUUGGAAAGCCGGUGGAUACUGUGAGGCUAGAGUACGGAAGAGGCGAGUGGAAUUCCUGGUGUAGCGGUGGAAUGCGCAGAUAUCAGGAGGAACACCAAUAGCGAAGGCAGCUCGCUGGGACGUUACUGACACUCAGGGACGAAAGCUAGGGGAGCGAAUGGG